rnacentral:rRNA from 1 species
AUUGUAGCGAGUUGGCGACCGGUUUGUCUGCUGCGGCGUUAAUGGAGAAAUGCUCGAUUCGUGGUAUGGUUGGCUUCGGCUGAACAAUGCGCUUAUUGGGUGAUUUUCCUGCUGUGGCGUGAUGGACUGGUGAACCAUGGCUCUUUAGCUUGGCAUUUGAAUCGGCUUUGCUGUUGCGAAGUAGAGUGGCGGCUUCGGCUGCCCCCGGGUCGAUCCAUUUGGGAAAUGUUGUGUACUUCGGUAUGCAUCUCAAAUGGACCUGAUUCCAGGCCAAGUUCCCCAAACUG